GAACACACAGCUCCAAGUCUAUUCUACAACCUCCUCAACCUUCCUCCUCUCAAAUCUCCAGUCUCUCUUCCUUUUACUGAAACCCCUAAAGUUCAAGCCAGCAUGAUCCGACCUUCAGCUGACCCUACCAAACUCACUCUCAAAUUCCUCUGUAGCUAUGGCGGCAAAAUCCUCCCUCGUUACCCCGACGGCAAGCUCCGUUAUCUCGGCGGCGAAACCCGCGUCCUCGCCGUCCAGCGCUCCAUUUCCUUCUCUGAGCUAUUGGUGAAGCUUGGAGAGCUGUGUGGCACAACCGUCGGUCUCCGUUGCCAACUGCCCAACGAAGACCUCGACGCCCUUAUCUCCAUCAAGUCUGAUGAAGACUUGGCCAAUCUCAUCGAGGAGUACGACACAGCUGCGGCGUCCGUCACGCCGUUGAAGAUCAGAGCUUUCCUUUCAUUUCCCGCCAACAAAAUUCCGUCGUCUCCUACAUCAUCCUCGGCGUCAUCCUCAAAGUCUUCGUCUUCAAAUCACAGUACUAUUUGUGCCUCCGGAUCCACUCCCAGAUUCUCCAUGCCGUUGCCGGCAGAGCGUUGCUUUCGUCAAGGCUCACAUAUGGCGCCGUUUCAGCGAGCUCCAGCGGCAGCUGGGAAAGCUCCUAGUUGUGCUAAUUACCAUGCUCAUGGAAACCCUAGUCGUCACUACCUCGUCCACAACGGCAAUCACUGGCAAUAACACAACAUAGGCAUGGCAGUGACAAAACCAUUGGAUCUAGCUGAGAGACUUGUCGGACGGACUAGAUCCCAUAUGCCAUUGCUGAUUAAAAAGAGACUAAGUACCAUAAAUCCGCACCAGAAAAACAGGGUUUAUGAUGAGAGUACUAGAACGAAACCAAGAAGACGAUGAUUGGGAAGAUAAGGAUCUCACAUUCAACUCAUUUUGGAGCAUUCUUUAUUCAAUCGAGGAUAUGGCUGCUGGGGGCGAUAAGAAGGGAGAAUUACUGGUGAUUUCGAUCGUAUCAAACUCGAACAUCCGUAUAAUUCCAAGAAGCAUAACAAUUGCAAUAGGGAAAUUCUUGGAAGCAAUUUGGGGACCAUUUUGGUAUCAAAUAUUAUCAAUGACAUAUAGACAAUGGGGUUCUCAUCAAUCAGUGAAUUGAAUGCCAAAACAAAUUAAUU